UCUUCUGAAAGAAAUGGUAAACUUUGAAAGAAUGGUCAAUUCAGCCAUUAUGUCUGAAAGGACAAUGAAGGCAGCAGUGCUCCAGCCCUGGG